UGACCUGGAAACCAUCUUGUCAACAGUAAAUUUCUUUCUCCAGGCCUUGUUUUUGGCCUGGGACCAUAGCCAGAGGUCUGGGGAAGGCUUUCUCAAUCAAGUGCCUUCCACCCAAGUCAGGCCACAAGUCUUUGUCCUUUUUAGAGCCCUAGAGCUUCCUGCCCUGGGUCCUCUCGGAGAUUCUGGAACUGUCCAAGAAAUAGAAGAGUACCCCAAAUCCCCAAGUCCAGGCUGAUAAUAUGAAUGUUGGGCUUCCAACUUCCAAAUGGAUUUUCCUUUCCAUUUUCAGAACGGCCACUUGAGCGCUACCUCAGUGGCCCAUGGAGAAAACCAAAGUGUGAAUUUUCUGAUUAUUUCACAGACCCCCCAAAAGUCACAUGACUCACCACCCCACCUCUGACCAUGAGGUCAUCAUCCUGAGAUGCUGGGCCCUGGGCUUCUACCCUGCGGAGAUCACCCUGACCUGGCUGCAAGAUGGGGAGGACCUGACCCAGGACACAGAGCUGGUGGAGACCAGUCCUGGGGGGGGGACAGGACCUUCCAGAAGUGGGCAGCUGUGGUGGUGCCUUCUGGAGAGGAGCAGAGAUACACGUGCUGGGUCAUUUCUUCCCCUCCCUUUUGCAGAGUCCCCUCCUCAGCUCAGCACCUCCACCUUGGGCAUCAUGGCUGGCCUGGUUCUCCUUGGAGCUGUGCUCACUGUGGCUGCGGUGGCUGCAGCUGUGAUGUGGAGGAAGAAGCUCAGGCAAUGAUAGCACCCAGGACUCUGAUGUGUCACUCAGGAACGCAAAGGUGACCCCUGCCUCUGACCACAUCAGGAAUCAUUUUGGAGGUCACUUCUCCACAGC